GACGAGGGUGACAAUAGAGUGUGGUGUCAUGUUUGUGAGAGAGAAAACACUUUCGAGUGCCAGAACCCAAGGAGGUGCAAAUGGACAGAGCCAUACUGCGUUAUAGCGGCCGUGACAACCCCUAGACCCACAUUCCCAGUGCAUAUGGACAGGCCAUACCACGCAGAAGCCAGCCCUUCCCUGAAGCAGCAUUCAACACACAGGCCUGGCCCUCGUCCUCCCGACUCCCCCUUGGUGCCCCAAUUGAGUGUGUACCUUUGAGCAGGGCCGCCAGGGGUGAGGCUUUGACCCAGACAGAAGGGCCUCGGUGUCAGGCAUUGGAAUUGCGUGAUUGCCUUCUCUCGGUCUUUAUUUCCUAUUAGAAAUAUUUCCACGUUUUUUCGUGAUUUCGAAGCAGUGCUCCGCUGGUUGUGCAGCGACUGAGAGACCCAAGCCAGAGGAGAAGUGGUUUCUCCUGGAAGAGCCCAUGCCCUUCUUUUACCUCAAGUGUUGUAAAAUUCGCUACUGCAAUUUAGAGGGGCCACCUAUCAACUCAUCAGUGUUCAAAGAAUAUGCUGGGAGCAUGGGUGAGAGCUGUGGUGGGCUGUGGAUGGCCAUCCUCCUGCUGCUGGCCUCCAUUGCAGCCGGCCUCAGCCUGUCUUGAGCCACGGGACUGCCACGGACUGAGCCUUCUGGAGCAUGGACUCGCUCCAGACCGUUGUCACCUGUUGCAUUAAACUUGUUUUCUGUUGA
rnacentral:sRNA from 1 species